AGCCUGGUGGGCUGCCGCUUAUGGGGUCGCACAGAGUCGGACACGACUGAAGCGACUUAGCAGCAGCAGCAGCAGGGAUUAAUACUACCUAGGAGUAGUAGUAUUUUCUUAAAGCCAAUCUUAUUUGAGAGCCCAUCACAUAAGUUAUCUUUCAGGUAAGUUGUCUUCUGACAAUUAUUUUGUGAGGGUAUUAUUCCUAUUUUGAAUACCAUAAAACUGAGGCUCAGAAAUGUAUCUUGAACACAGCUGUUUAGUGGCAAAAUCAGGUUUUGAACUCAAGACUUUUGACUCCAGUUCUGUUUCCAUAAGUAUUUAAUCUUAUUUUCAAAAUGGCAAAGGAGGUAAAAGGUUUUUAUAUAGAUAGGUGAACACCAAGUUGGGAUUACUGGAUUCAAAAGUAUCCUUUUAAAAGGCACGAUUAGACAAUAUAGAGCAGCAGUUGGUAUGUAGUGAAUGGAGCUGUUGUUUAGUCAUUAAGUCGUGUCUGACUCUUUGUAACCCCAUGGGGUGUAGCCUCCACUGUCUAUGGGAUUUCCCAGGCAAGAAUACUGGAGUGGGUUUCCUUUUCUUCUCCAGGGCCUCUUCCCCACUCAGGGAUCGAACCCGUGUCCCCUGCAUUGGCGGGUGUAUUCUUUACCAUUGAGCCACCAGGGAAGCCUCAGUAAUCAGGAGCCCCCACCAUCUAGCAGGCCUGGGUGAUAGUGCCAUCUUGUGGCCACAGCCCGGAACCGCACUCCAUCCUCAUACAUUCCCAGGAAUGGACGAUGUGUGCACAUGGGGACUCCUUCCUGUCUGGCUCCAAGCCAUCUCUUGCUCUUCGCAGUAGAUCUGCAAAUCCAAUUAAUUCCUGGCCCUGUCUACUUGGAUGUCCAAUAGACACUCGAAUUCGUCUUACCCCAAACUUGCACCUGUACACCUUCUCAGUAAGUCAGGCCACUCCAUUCAGUUGCCAGAAGUCCCCACUCCUCAUUUGUCCAUAUCUUACCUAAGAGUAGGUAAAUCCUCUCCAUCCCACUUCCCCACUGUCUCCAAUCCACCCAUUUCUCUCCAUCCUAGAGAGUGCUCCUCUGUGUCUUGUCAAUCCAUCUUCCAUACAAAAUACCAGAGGGGCUGGCCUGAACAACAGACAUUUACUUCUCACACUUUUGGACACUGGAAAGUCCAAGACCAAGGUACCAGCAGGUUUGGUUCCUGGUGACGACCAGCUUCCUGGCUUGCACGUGGCCACCUCCUCUUGUGGGCAGGGAGAGUGUGCUCUGGCAUCUCUUCUCCAUGUUAUGGGGGCACCAAUCCCAUCAUGACCACCCCCUCAUAACCUCACCUUAACCUGCACGUGUGGAUGCUCAAUUGCUCAGUCGUGUCCGACUCUUUGCAACCGCAUAGACUGCAGCCCGCCAGGCUGCUCUCUCCAUGGGAUUCUUCAGGCAAGAAUACUGGAGUGGGUUGCCAUGCCCUCCUCCAGGGGAUCUUCCUGACCCAGGGAUCAAACCCAUGUCUCCUGCCUUGCAGGUGGAUUCUUUACCCACUAAGCCUCUGGGGAAGCCCCCAUCUUAACCUGAUCACCUUCCAAAGGUUCCGCCUCCGAAUACCAUCACACUGCAGGGGAAGCAGGUGUGAGGGGCAGGUGUUUAGGGCUCCAACAUGGAUUUUGGGGGAUGCAAAUUUUCAGGUCACUGCAGAGUGUAUGAGGGAGAUUUUUCUUAUCUUCAUUUUCUUGGUGAAGUCCUGAGGUCUGGGGUUGGGGAAUGCAUAUCUGGUCCAAGACCAUAGAGCCAGUAAGUGGCUCAGCUCUCUCCCACCCCAAACCUGGGCUCCUUCCCUUCUUUGUUCUGCAGCAGAGAAGGAGGGACAGUGGCCACUGUGCUGAGUGGGGACAGCUAAGGGAGAGACACGGCUAAUAUGUUCUGAGCAGCUUCACCAUGCACCAGGUCCUCAUGGGGAUACGGGUGAUGGAUCCCAGGGCACUGGAGCCUAGUCUGUGACAUGGAAAGACUGGGGCUCAGAGGCUGAGCCACUUGCCUGAGGACGUGAAGCUGGUGACCGAGGGAGGUGUUACAGCUUCAGCUGCCAGGCCACUGUGCGUGUUCUUGCGUUUGCUCACCCCUUUCAGAUUAGGUCGGGGUUUCCUGUGGUGGUGAUAACAUGACUGUGAGCUCCACGGCUCAAAGCAACAGAAAUGUAUUCUCUCACAGUGCAGGAGACCAGAGUCUGAUUCUAGAUGUCAGCAGGGGGACUGCCCCAGAGGUCCAGUAGUUAACACUUCUGUGCUUCCACUGCUGGGGGCAUGGUUCGAUCCCUGGGGAACUAAGAUCCCACGUGCCUUGCUGGGUCCCUUCCCUAAAAAAAGUUCAAGAUAAAGAUGUCAGUGGGGUUGGCUCCUUCUGUAGCGGGGGGAGAGUCUGCUUCUGCUUCUCUCUAGUUUCUGGUGGUUGCCAGCAAUCCUGUUACCUCCACCUGCAGACCCUUCCGUCCAGUCCCCGCCUCCGCUGUCUGUUGGCUUCUCCCUUUCUCCGUGUCAGAACCUCCCUCUCCCUCCCUCUCCGAUCUCUUAUAAAGACAGCAGCCUAAUUCAGUUCAACCUUGAUUAACUGAUUACAUCUGCAAAGACCCCCUUUCCAAAUAAGGUCAUGGUGUGGGAUCCCCGGUGUAUGCCAAUUUUGGGGGCAGAGUAUUCAACCUACUGCCCUGUCCCACAAGCUGCUUCCCGCAUCUGCCCAGAAUAUGGGAUCCCCCACCUCCUGUUUAGCCAGAGGCCCCAGAAGAGUGUUACAGAGUAGCCGGAGUCCUCAGAGUGCACACGAGUGCACAGAUACACACCUACCCAAGACUUCCGCUUUCUCCUCCAUGGCCCCUGUUGGGGUUUCCUCUAAUACCUUUCUCACCCCCCAUCAGAGCUGGGGAGUAGGUGCCCCACCCUGUCAGCUGCUGUUGAAAAACACUUUGAGAAACAGUGAGUGGUGGUAGGAGAGGACGGAACGGGUCUCAGGGACCUUGGCUGCGGUUUCAUUUGGCGGAAUUCCCCCCUCUGUCCCAGAAGUUUAGGGUGUCUGGCAGGGGAAAGCCAGCCACCUCUCACCCCAGGCACCCCAUGGCCUCGUCAUCUUUGCAUGGCCGCAAACAAGCCCAGGGCUGACCUGGCAAUCAGUGUUGGGGAGGUUGAAUUCAGACAUCUGUUAAUCAGUCAGUCAAUCAGUUCACAGAGCUAGAGAAUGCAGGGUGUAGUGGAACAUCUUGUGGGUCCAGGAAGUUUUCUUUGAUUGGAAGGCAACGUCCGCACAGACCCGAAGAAUUGAGAUCCGCGCUCUUGUCAGCAGCACUGGGAUUGGUCGAUUGGUCUGUCCAGAAUAUGAGGCAGAGAGAGAAAGAGUGUGUGUGAGAGCGAGGGAGACUCAAGGUGAUUGUGCUGCUAGUCCGAGAGAUGCCCUCACCAACUGGUACCAAGGGUAGGGAUACACUUGUGCCGGAGGGCCCGGCUGGUAAUGGGGAGAUGGGGGCGGGAGCCGGACAAAUAAUGGGCCUUGGUCUUGCGAGGGGGAGAAGGGGAGCGCUGCCCAGAGUGUCCACCAGGGGGCAGUGCAGCCCCGCACACGGCGCAGGGCCCAGGGUGGCCGUGAACCCAGCCUCCCGCGUAUGCAGCCGAGGGUUCUCCCAAGUGUGCUGCUUUCUGCCGUUGGAUUAUUUCUGUCAAACUGGCAAGACUGACCGUGGGCUGCAGAGAUUCCGGCCGCAGGGUUGAGGUCCGCUCUCUGUGAGGGCCCCUCAAACCCAGAUUCCAGAGAAUGGAUUUACCCCAAAGCUGGUGACAUCUCCUGUCCUGGUCCCUCACCUGCAGGAGUCCAUCCUGAGCGCUUGCUCCUUUUUAAACUUGUUAGCUAAUUAGGACCUCCUCCAUAGCACGGAGAAUUCUGCUCACUACUCUAUAAUGCCAUAUAUAGGAAAACCUAAAAAAGUGGGUGUAUGUUGGUGUAUAACCCAUUUACUUUGCUGGAUUUGUGAAACCAGCACAACAUUGUAAAACAGUUAUACUCCAAUACAUUUUUUUAAAAAAAAUAAAUGUUUCUUUUUUUUUUGAGACAUAUACCACGAACUAUGAGUGAUUGCAUAACGAAUUACCCCAACACUAAAUUAUAACAGGGCUUCUCAGGUGGAGCUACUGGUAAAGAACCCACCUCCUAAUGCAGGAGAUGUAAGAGAUCUGGGUUCGAUCCCUGGGUCAGGAAGAUCCCCUGGAGAAGGAAAUGGCACCCCACUCCAGUAUUCUUGCCUGGAGAAUCCCAUGGACAGAGGAGCCUGGCAGGCUACAGUCUAUGGGGUUGCAAAGAGUCAGACACGACUGAAGCGACUAAGGAGGCAUGCAAGUUAUAACAAAAACAAGUAUUUACCAUCUCUCAGUUUCUGUGGGUCAGGAAUUAAGCACGGGCUUGGCUCAGCUGUUCUGACUUAGGGUUCAUCAGGAGUUUCAGUGAGAUGACAGCUUAGGAUUUUGGGUAUGAGAUCUGGUUAGGAAUCUCUGAGCCUGUUUUCUCAUCUGCAAAAUGGAGAUAAUAGUAGUACCCUUAGGGUUGUUAUGAGGAUUAAUGAAAUAAUUUUCACAUGGCAGAAACGGCCAAUUGCCUACCUCAGGUGCAGUUCCCUCCUCUUUCUUUGUAAGAGAGGCUCCAGUGUUAAGCUGUAAAGAUGGAUGUCUGCCUGGAAUAAAAGUCUACAUUUUCCUUUUUUUCCCCAGUCACUUCUGUUUGAGUAGAUAGAAGUGGCAGCUUUCAGGAAACUUCCUGUGAUGCAAGAAACACGCAUCAAAGUAUGCAAGCUCAAUGGCAACACCAGAUGCAUCUCAUUAAAUCGGUUUCCAGUAUUUGCUGUCAGGGAACAGCUGUGUGUGAAGCACAUCUCCCCGCCCCUUCCCACCACGUGAAUCACUGACAAGAGAAACCCCGAGCUCCACAGGCAGCCACUUCAGAUCAUCCAGUCAGCGGGAGAGAGGGGACUAGUUUGCAAUCCUGCUUCUGAGUGAUUUCAUCUAAUAGACAAUUUGGAAGUCAGCCUCCAGGGAAUGAAGGUAAGAAGACCUCGCGGGGCAGGUGGGAGCAGGGAGAGCACAGAGCCAGAGCCAUGGGACAAUGAGGCUCAGGGCUGGGUCCCCCCAGCAGCCCGGGUUUUAUCUGCUGACCUUCAGAUAGGUAUUCCUUCCCACUGAAUCUCCACUGGUCCAGAAGGUGUGGUGGCGUGUAUGUGUGUGCGUGUGUGACAAAGACUCCAGACAACCAGUUGGAGCUGCGGGUUCUGUUUGCAGCCAUAGAACACAGUGAUCCCACUGAUGGGGCUCAAAUGGAUGUCCUUGACUUUCCUGGUGUGAUUCUCAACCAAACAAGCUCACCUGACUGACAAGAGAAUAAGGGUUUGUUACUCAAAGUAUGGGCUUCCCUGGUGGCUCAGCAGUAAAGAAUCCACCUGCUAAGGCAGGUUCCAUUUCGGGGUCAGGAAGAUCCCCUGAAGGAGGGCACAGCAACCCACUCCAGUAUUCUUGCCUGGGGAAUCCCAUGGACAGAGGAGCCUGAUGGGCUACAGUCCAUAGGGUCGCAAAGAGUCGGACAUGCCCAAAGUGACUUAGCAUGCAUGCAGGCACAGGUAAUGUAUAUCCUUGAGAGUUUGAGAGGCACUGGCUUAGAAAGUCGCUAGGACUUCACACUGACUAGUAUUUGAAGUGUGCCGGACUUUGGCAGAUGUCACCAAGACAGGCCCUGUCAUUAGAGUUGGCUCAGCGCAUGCAAAGGCACCGGGCAGAGACCAUGGUCCAGAUUUGUGACCAAUGUUGUUUGAGAGAGAAAACUCUGUUCUUGUUUUGCACAGCCCUUUUUAUUUCUUCUCCCAUCUGCUAUUCAUUCAUCAUUUCUUGUUGCUUCACCCUGUAUAAGCCCUAAUAUCCAAUUUUCAGAAUUUCUUCCAAUCUUCUUGGUCACUCCUGGGUUGUCUCAGCCCCUUCACUCCUUGUUUUCAUAAUCUGCUUCUCCACCAUCUCCCUGCAGGCUUAGGGUUUUGACUGAGGCCCUCAUUUUGCAGAAAAUACUGCUAUGGCUUGUCUUCACUGUAAUUGUAGCUGAUUUGUUUACUGCAUUCAAAAAGGUCCAUUCAAUUCAAAAGGCAAAUAAUGAGGUUUGGAGUAGAAGUGCAGAGUGGGUCCUGUUUGCUGGCAAGAGGAGACAGUCUUACUCAACUGGUCUGUUAAUUGGGGGUCUUUCACCUGUUCUAAAAGUUAUUAAACAUUCCCGUGGGCUGAGAUUCCCAUCUUGGUGGGCACUGGAUGGCCAAGUGUCAGAUACCAAUGCUGCUAACCAGGUGACAUACCUUUUCUCUGCAUACGGCUUGCUACUCUAGCCUGACAUCUUGGAAGACCACUUUGCUCAGUGCUGAGUGAUGGCUAGAUCAGUGUUAUUCCCGCUAAAUUCACUGCUAUGGUCAGACUCCAUGGAGUAACCACUUGACUAUGUCUUCUCAAUACUUAGAGGAACAGUUGAUUAGAAGCAAAACAGGAGUCUCUAAAGUCUGUCAAGAAGAAAAGAUUAACUGUUGAAAUGGCUCCACUUGCCUUCACUGUCCUCAUUCAGUCCACUAGCUGGUGGACUUAGAGCUGCCGUGCCUGGCUUCUGCUGGUUGCCAACAUUUAGAGAAGGCAGACCUCUUUAAAUCUGAGUCCCUGAAUCUGCGGAUUAAUUGUAUUUCCUUAACUCAGGCACCAUUAAGAAGGAUCUGUCACCAUUUCCAUUAAGAUUAAUGAGUUAUAUGAUUAAUUUCUAGUUGUACCAAUGCUCUUGUGUGUGCACUUUUCCCCUGAGGAUUCUUUUGGGUGAAGCUUUCCACGGUGGCAUUUUUACACCAAACUGUAUGAUGAUCCUCCCCUGUGCAACAGAUGAGUCACUAAUCAUAUGAGGCUAUUGACAUUAAAAUUGAAGAAAUCAAAUAUUUACUUCUCAGCUGCACCAUCCAUAUUUCAAACGCUCAUGAACCACAUGUUGUUGCUAGUAGCUAUUGAUGAAGGACAUUUUCAUCAUCAUGGAAAGUUCUUUUAGACAGUACUGAUAAAGACUCAGUAGAAUUUAGAAAAAAGAACAUGGGUUUCUGGGUCUUAUGGGCCUGGUUUCUUCUGCACACAGAUUACACUUCUGUGUUCUCAACUAUUGCCUACCAUGAUUUGCAUGUCAUUCAGGUAAAUAAGACACUGACAUUUCAAAGGACUGACUAUGCUUUAUAGCUCGGUGGUUCUUAAAUCUCAGUAUUGGGAUCACCUGGAGAACUUGCUAGAACCCAGUUUUCUGGGUCUCAUCACGAGUUCUGAGAACAUGCCUUUAGAUUCCCAGGUGCUGCCCCUCAAGUCUUAUGGAGCUGCCCUUGAAUUGGGGAAACCAGAACACCUUGUUGGGCAAAGAUGAAAUCAUCUGUAUCCUUGAUUUACACCAAGGAGGUCCACAAGCAUAUUCCUGAGGGUGUGAACAUUCAUUAUUAACAUUGUAACAACUGUGAUUUCACUCAAAAUAAAAAGAGCAAUAAGCACCUAUUCUGGGUCAUCAAUGACCAUCUCAAAACCAACAACGGCAUGCAAUCUUGGUGCCUGCGUUAGCAUUUGUACUUACAAUCACAGGGUCAAACAAUUUCCAGAUCUGGUAGCAUUUAACUUUCGAAGUAGUGUUUCCUAAGCUGGGUUCUAUAGAGUUCACUGAAUAUAUAGGUAGGAGCCCCACAGUCCCUAUGUUUGAGAAACAGUGAUCUGGGGGAGGGGGUGGAGGUGGACCCAGCAAGAGCAAGGGAGUGUUUUUCAGGGGGAGAGCGUGUGGCAUUUGGAUUGUGAAAGAUUUUCUGUUCAGGACUUCCCCUCAGUUUGCAGGCUAUUUAGCAUUGCUGGGCUUUGACCAUUAAAUGCCAGGUGGUCCUCCAGAGUCACAGGACAAGCCCAAACCAUCUGCACACGUUGAAAAAUCCCCCUGUGGGGCACCAGUACAGCUUGCCUUUAGGUGAGAAAGCCCAUAGGCCGUCAGGCUUGCUUGAGGCAGCUGGACCUCUGCUCUUUCCAACCAUCUUACAGCUGCAUCUGGGCCCUGGGGCCUCGCCUACCUAUUUUUCUUCCAUUACCCCCAGGCUUCCCGGUUAGAUAGACCCCAUGUUCAGGACACUGUGGUGGGGCCGCCUUCAGUCUACCGUUUGGCCUGUAGAGGGCAGCAGCACCCAGAACGUCCCGCUUGCUUUUUAACAUGGGAAGUGGUAGUCAAGCCUUGCCACGCUGUUUCCUCCAUCCCUCUUCAUACCUUGCCGUUCUUUUUGGCAGUCUCCUCUAGAAAAGAGCUUCUCAACGUUCCCCCUUUGGCCUGGCAGCAGCAAAGGUGUUGUUUGGACCACAGGCUCAUUAUCCAGGAUGCUGGAAUGGGUUUAGGGCAGUCCUGGGGCACGUGGAUUUCUUUGGUCUGCAGGGACCCCAGAAGCAUUAGCGUCAAAACCAGGGGCUGGGCCUUGAGAGCAGAGAGAGCUGAUUGCUAAAAUCUGUGUCGGGGCUUCUCUGGUGGUCUAGUGGUUAAGAAUCUGCCUUGCAAUGCAGAGGGCUGAAGUUCCAUGCCAGACUGGGGAUGAUCCCACAUGCCAGCAGAGCAGCUAAGCCCGUGGGCCAAAACUCCCGGAACCUGCACUCUAGAGUUUAUGAGCCACAACAAGAGAAACCGCUGUGGUGAGAAGCCCGUGCACGUCAACAAAGAGUGGCCCCUGCUCUCUGCAACCAGAGAAAGCCCGUAGGCAUAAAUAAAUGAAUUAAAAACCAAAUCUGUGUCAGGCAUAAUAUCCAGGUAAGGUUGUGGGCAGCAGACAGGAGGAGAUGGAGGCUGACUGAUGAUGGGCAGCCCAGCAUUUUCCCUGCUCAAAUUUGUUUUCCUGUCUCUUCCUACCUCAGCUGCCCCUUAUUCUUUUUUAUGGUGGUCAAGACUUCCCUCCUUUCACACUGAGACAUGUGACUGAUGAGAGCAGAGAGUUACAGUGCCUAAGAGCUUUCUCCCAGUCACCCUUUCAAGAUAACUGUUUAUAACAGAAGAUUGCAAAGACAUAGAAACGAUAGUAUCAUGAACCCCUAUUUAGCCAUCACCCAGCCUCAACAGCUGUCAGCUCAUUGCCAGUCUGGGUUCUUUAUCCCCCAGACCCCUCAGUCCCAGCAUCAGUGUUCACAAAUCCAAGACAUCGUAGUAUGUGCAGAGGGCUUUCCUCAGCCCAGUCAACCACGUCACGUGCUGGUGAAGAAGCUUUGGUGGCACGAGGUCCGGGCUGCUUGGUGUGUUAGACAAGGCCCCCUGCAACCUGCUACCACUCACCUUCUCAGCUUCUGUUUCUCCAUCCCC